rnacentral:lncRNA from 1 species
GGCUCCAUGCACCAGGAGCCCGACAUGGGACUCGAUCCCGGGUCUCCAGGAUCGCACCCUGGACCAAAGGCAGGCGCUAAACCGAUGCGCCACCCAGGGAUCCCCAAAUAAAACUAUAAUAUUAAAAAAAUAAAUCUUGGCCAGAUAAUUGUGGCUAUAUAUAUAGAUACUUAAGGGUUCUAGAACUGAAAGUUCAGAAUUAACAGUAAUCACCAUUUGAGAAAAUGAUUUCAUCAUUUUUUCCCCUAUAUUUCUUUCAUUUUCCCUACUAUCUAACUCCAAGAAGCAUGAUGAAUAUUAGUAAGGUGAUAACUACAAAAUACUUUGAUCUCUGACUUGGAGAGUAAUAUAAAGUAUAUCAUUAAAUAUAAAAGCAAAGAGUAUGUCAAAUGAGAUUAACCACUGGAUUGAAAUAAUCUAUUCCACUUCUUCCCCUUUUUCACAUUGAAAACUAGUUGUGAAAUAAGGCUAAUGAGGUGGAAACAUACAGUCUGAUGAUAAAAUCCAGAAACAAAAGAUACAUGUAGUAGUUCUCCCUCCAGGGAAAUUAAAAAUUCAAUAAUUUCCUCUAGGAUCAAGAUUGGCUGUUGGCCAUCCCUAGCAAAAGAGAUAUUUCUGAGAGAGGCAGGAAAUUAAUUCUACAGCCCAUAAAAAUAAAGACAUUCUAUUUUUUAAAUGACAGUAGUGAUUCUUGCAUAACUGAAAACCAUAAAGAAAAUAUAGAAAAGUAAUGUUCAAGACAUAACGAUAAACAACCUCAGAGGAGUUGGGACAGUAUUUCCCAUAUUUUCAUUUAAUAAGUUACUAUUUCUUUCUUGUUUGAGUGAAGGUCUUUUCAGUGAAGAUUUUUGUGGAGAUGGUCAUUAUCAAGAUAUAGAUAACUUUCUAGUUAGGAUCAUAUGACUGUACUUCCUUAGCUUAGUUCUAUCUGAUUGCUCUUACUUUUCAGGAUAUUUCUCAAUUUCAUGCUUAGAAAGGUAUUUAGAAAGGAUUCAUAACUCUCACAUUGUCUACUUAUAGGAAACCCUACACACUUAUUUUUUUUAAAUGAUAAAUCAGUUUUUCUAGUUGCCCAAAACAUAGGAGAAUGCAAGACAUCAGUCUAUGCUUAAUGUCCUGCUAUGAUUUAAAGAAGCCGCAGCAGGGAGGAAUGAAGCAGUGGGCUCUGACGGGACAUGGAGCAGCACAUCCUGCAUGAAUUGAGAGCAAUCAAUUCUCAGAUGGUUUGACUUGAUGCUCUUUGAGAAUUGUUUAUAUAUAUUUACAGAAUUUAGAUUCUUGAAAAUUUAUCCUACCAAUUAUGUACAACAGUUAAAUGCUUUUCCACCAGCUUUACUGGGAUCUAACAUAACACUAUGUAAGUUUGAAGUGCACCACAUAAUGAUUUGAUUUAUAUAUAGAUAUAGCAAAAUAAUUACCAAAGAGAAGUUAGUUGACACAUCUAUCAACUCAGAGAGGGACAGUGUGUGUGUGUGUGUGUGUGUGUGUGUGUGUGGUGACAAUAUUUAAGACUUACUCUAUUAGCAAGUUUUAGAUAUACAAUACAGUUACAUAUUUUUGUAAGUACCAGUUUGAUACCACUUGACAAAGUGGUAUCCCAAAUAAAUGGGAAAAAAUGAUGGGCUUGAUUUAAGGCAUUCUACUUUCUUUAUUAAUAAGAAGAAUUAAUAACUCCUUUAUAAUACCUAAAAUUUCUAUGUCCUUUUGUGCUGUUCAUAUUUAGAUUUCUAUAGUUUCCCCCAGAAGAUACCCAGAUAAAAUUUGCCUGUUCUGUGGGAGGCAAAGCCUGUUUUCCCUAAACUUUGCAUGCGAGAAUGAAAUCAUUUUUCAUAUUAUGCUCUUUAGGUGUUGCUUUUAAUGCAUUUUUAUAAACAUUCUUCUGAAAGGCAAUAUUUCUCCAUUUACAACUCUAUCAAUGGAAUGGGCAGUAAUAUUAAAUUGUUUGUACUUGGCAGCACAUUCAUAGGCAAAAACACAGCAAAUCAUUGUCUAAAAGGACAGUACCUAGAGACUCAGGGUUCUGUGACCCUGAGUAGGUAAGUGUCAGUGCAGUACCUUCAUCUUAAAUGUUAGUGGCUGGAUAGAAGAUUACAUAAGGAUAUUUUAUGAAAGUAUAAUCAUGUAGAAUUGUUCAGUCCCACUCAUUGACUCAUUUAUUCAAGAAAUACUUACUGAACAGCUGGUGUCGACCAGGACCUAGGUCUCCAAAGAUGAACAAAACGGACAUAGCUCAGCCCUCUCCCACCUCCCACCCAGUGAGAGAGACUGGGAGUAAAAUGGGCACUUGGAGGAGUGCCGCAUGGGGUGCCAGAUGCCUGUGGGAGGGACAUCCAUGUGUAAAUCUAGGUCACUUUCAAAUCUGAACCUCAGGGAUCAGGUCUGGGUUGAAUUUAUAGACUUGGGUGUCACCAGCAUAUCCAACAUGUAAUAAGUAAAACUCUGACAGAGGAGGAGAUGACCCAUAGGAGGGCCAAUGUUCAAAGAUAGAAUCCUGGGUCACACCAGACUUUAAAAGACAGACUUCUUUCCCAGAGUUUUCUCAGAUCAUAAUGCUGACCUCACCCUAAGUAAAGAUGGGAACAAUUUCAAUGGUACUAAAUAUAUCCCUAAAAUGUUUUCUCUAGACUCUGGCAUUGAGGGGACCUGUGAGUAAGAGUGUGCCUUCUGGUCUCAUGUUUGAAUGCUUCUCCACUUCAGCUUUCUAAUUUGUCAUUUGUAUUUCUUCAAGAUUGCCAUUGUUUUCUACCUCAAAUUAUGGAGCUGGAGAUAUCCUUUUAUGAUGAGAAGUAGGUUCUGGUGAUUAAAAAUAGUUUCAAAGCUCACAGUGAGGUCUCGAUUAUGUAACUUCCGUUGUAUUAGAUGGUUGCUUCCUGGAGAAAUAAAAGGAUACAUUAUUCCUUAGGUCCAAAAUAUCCUAGUUGGAACUCAAAGUUCAUGAGAGAUGAGGAUAGUGAAUCUGUAGAUAGCAAAACUCUGCUCACAGUUUUGUGGAACAGGUCUCUUGAGAAUUUAAGGAAGUUUUGUUCUGCAUACCUUUGUCCAGUGAACUAGCUGUGGAUGUGCUGUGAGACCAUUUACAGUGCACUGCAGCGAGCAGGAAGGCAAGACUGAUGUCUUCACCUGAUGAAAUCUUUAACGGAAGGCUAGUCUUCUUAAAUUAUGUCUGCAUUUGAUCUGAUAACGGACAAAACAAUUUCACUUCACCUUAGGCAGCAAAGACAAGAAAGGAAAGUAUAAUUUCUCACAUUCCCUUUGAUGGGUUUUCUUCUCUUUUGGUUAAAAUGAGAUUAUCUUUUUCAGAAGUUGUAAUAUACUUUGGGGGGAAAAAACCCAAAUUUCUAUUAUAACUACUCUACAAUGGCCUG